rnacentral:rRNA from 1 species
AUUGAACGCUGGCGGCAGGCCUAACACAUGCAAGUCGAACGGUAACAGGAGGCAGCUUGCUGCUUUGCUGACGAGUGGCGGACGGGUGAGUAAUGUCUGGGAAACUGCCCGAUGGAGGGGGAUAACUACUGGAAACGGUAGCUAAUACCGCAUAACGUCGCAAGACCAAAGAGGGGGACCUUAGGGCCUCUUGCCAUCGGAUGUGCCCAGAUGGGAUUAGCUAGUAGGUGGGGUAACGGCUCACCUAGGCGACGAUCCCUAGCUGGUCUGAGAGGAUGACCAGCCACACUGGAACUGAGACACGGUCCAGACUCCUACGGGAGGCAGCAGUGGGGAAUAUUGCACAAUGGGCGCAAGCCUGAUGCAGCCAUGCCGCGUGUAUGAAGAAGGCCUUCGGGUUGUAAAGUACUUUCAGCGGGGAGGAAGGGAGUAAAGUUAAUACCUUUGCUCAUUGACGUUACCCGCAGAAGAAGCACCGGCUAACUCCGUG